GCCUGGAUAGCUCAGUUGGGAAAGCAUCAGUCUUUUAAUCUGAUGUACAGAGUUCAAGUUCCUAUUUUGGUG
rnacentral:tRNA from 1 species